GGGAGGUAUACAGACCUACACCUCAGAGGGAGCACUAGGAGGAAGUCCAGCUGCCUGGGGCCCCUGACUAUUGAGUAUCUAUCUGACCUGCUGAGGGAAAGAGGUUUCUGGACAACUGCAAGGACAUGAAAGCCAUUUCCUGGCUCGCUCUGCUGCAGCGUUCUCCUCCCUCAUUGAACAAAGUGUCCCUGACCAGUUGUCCGGAUACUGUGACCUUUCAAACAGAAGGUUUUGAAGGU